rnacentral:rRNA from 1 species
GAUGAACGCUGGCGGCGUGCCUAAUACAUGCAAGUCGAGCGAACGGACGAGAAGCUUGCUUCUCUGAUGUUAGCGGCGGACGGGUGAGUAACACGUGGAUAACCUACCUAUAAGACUGGGAUAACUUCGGGAAACCGGAGCUAAUACCGGAUAAUAUUUUGAACCGCAUGGUUCAAAAGUGAAAGACGGUCUUGCUGUCACUUAUAGAUGGAUCCGCGCUGCAUUAGCUAGUUGGUAAGGUAACGGCUUACCAAGGCAACGAUGCAUAGCCGACCUGAGAGGGUGAUCGGCCACACUGGAACUGAGACACGGUCCAGACUCCUACGGGAGGCAGCAGUAGGGAAUCUUCCGCAAUGGGCGAAAGCCUGACGGAGCAACGCCGCGUGAGUGAUGAAGGUCUUCGGAUCGUAAAACUCUGUUAUUAGGGAAGAACAUAUGUGUAAGUAACUGUGCACAUCUUGACGGUACCUAAUCAGAAAGCCACGGCUAACUACGUGCCAGCAGCCGCGGUAAUACGUAGGUGGCAAGCGUUAUCCGGAAUUAUUGGGCGUAAAGCGCGCGUAGGCGGUUUUUUAAGUCUGAUGUGAAAGCCCACGGCUCAACCGUGGAGGGUCAUUGGAAACUGGAAAACUUGAGUGCAGAAGAGGAAAGUGGAAUUCCAUGUGUAGCGGUGAAAUGCGCAGAGAUAUGGAGGAACACCAGUGGCGAAGGCGACUUUCUGGUCUGUAACUGACGCUGAUGUGCGAAAGCGUGGGGAUCAAACAGGAUUAGAUACCCUGGUAGUCCACGCCGUAAACGAUGAGUGCUAAGUGUUAGGGGGUUUCCGCCCCUUAGUGCUGCAGCUAACGCAUUAAGCACUCCGCCUGGGGAGUACGACCGCAAGGUUGAAACUCAAAGGAAUUGACGGGGACCCGCACAAGCGGUGGAGCAUGUGGUUUAAUUCGAAGCAACGCGAAGAACCUUACCAAAUCUUGACAUCCUUUGACAACUCUAGAGAUAGAGCUUUCCCCUUCGGGGGACAAAGUGACAGGUGGUGCAUGGUUGUCGUCAGCUCGUGUCGUGAGAUGUUGGGUUAAGUCCCGCAACGAGCGCAACCCUUAAGCUUAGUUGCCAUCAUUAAGUUGGGCACUCUAAGUUGACUGCCGGUGACAAACCGGAGGAAGGUGGGGAUGACGUCAAAUCAUCAUGCCCCUUAUGAUUUGGGCUACACACGUGCUACAAUGGACAAUACAAAGGGCAGCGAAACCGUGAGGUCAAGCAAAUCCCAUAAAGUUGUCCUCAGUUCGGAUUGUAGUCUGCAACUCGACUACAUGAAGCUGGAAUCGCUAGUAAUCGUAGAUCAGCAUGCUACGGUGAAUACGUUUCCGGGUC